UUGGAACAGAAAGUGACUAAUUUGAGUCAAAAAGCGAACAUCAACACAGAAAUAAUUCAGGACUUGGUACAGGAAUCCAUUUUGGCAGGACAAAUGGUGGAGGAGAAGGAGGAGAAGGAGAAUGCUGCUGUUGUUGAACAUAAAGUUGAACAUCAAGUAGUACAAGAGAGAUCCGUGGCUUUACAGAAGCAAAUUGAGGACUAUAAGUUGAGGCCUUUUAUGAUUGAAUCUAGGAAAAGUCAGAUUCUGAGGAAUAAACCCCGGCUUGGACGAAAGAAGGAAAGUUGGAAAGAUCCCUCUAUGCAAGGAUUAACUGACUUUUGGGACAUGGACUCGGGCCUGGAGGAGAUUGAAGUUUUGGGGGCCUUUGGACUUGGAGGAAUCUUGAAAUAUGCUCUGAAAUACUUUAUGGACUGUAGCUUUAACUAUGGAAAUUUGGCUGAUUUGUUCAGAAGGAAGAAAAGGAUUGACAGGUUGGAGUUUCCCCGAGAUUUGCUCUUUAGCAUUAAAGAAAAUGAAGAAGACCUGCAGAAGGGACUUGGAAAAGAGUUAAGAGCCUCGGACAUAAGAUCACCAGGUUGAUGGACUUUAUGGAGUUGACAGAAAGGACUGGCAGAAUCCGAAACCAGGGAGAGGAGAUGGUGGAAGAAGAUUGGAAAAUUUAAAGUUUAUAUAUAGACUUAUGGUAAAACUAAUGAGUGAUAGAAAAAUGGUGGAAUGAUUUUUUAUGGGCUUAGCAGAAAUGUUAUAA